rnacentral:rRNA from 1 species
AUGACUGCUGAUCUAUGCUCACAGAAUAUGGUGGCUGAAAGCAGUCCUGCAAUGGACGCUAGAGAGCCAGCUGAUAACUGUUCAGAGCUUACACCUCAUGUUGCAACGGACCAGAAAGUGGACUCAUCAAAAUUUGUGGAGUAUUGGGUUCCUGCUCGCCUUUCACGAGUGCAACUAGAAAUGUACUGUCAUACCUUGCUUUCAAACUCACCAGCGCUUCAAUCAAAUCAUAAAACUGACAGUGUUGGUGCUCUUCGCAACAUGCUUGUAUCCCUCCGGAAGUGCUGUGACUACCCUUGUCUAGUAGAUGAAAUGCUGCAAGUCUCACUUCCCAAGGGCCACCCAGUAACUGAUAUCCCAGAUAUUGAAAUGCGUGCAAGUGGCAAGCUACUGCUUCUUGACAAAAUGCUCCGAGCAAUCAAGGAAAAAAGGCAAAGAGUUCUUAUCCUUUCCCAGUCUUGUGAUGGGGCUGGCAAUCUGACGAGUGACGUUUUGGAUCAUUUUGUCCGUCAAAGCUUUGGUUUUGAGUCAUAUGAGCGCAUGAAGCAUGUUUUUGAUGUACCAAAGAAUGAGGGUGCAAUGAGUAUGUUCAAUGACACGACUAUGGGCCGGUUUAUUUUCUUGAUUGAUAGUCGUGCAUGUGUACCAACCAUUAAAACUAUCAUCGGUUGA